ACAGGAGGUAAAGCCAGCCGUCAGAGAAGGAGCAGAGAAAAUCUGUAACUCUAGAACAAGUCCUGGGAUAUAAUAGUUUACUGUAGCAGCAAGCACUAGUCUCUAGUUUACUGAUAACUCUAUUCCUCAAAGAGUCUACUAGAAGGAACACUGAAUUCACAAUUUUCUAGCUGUAAAAUGGACAUUUUAAUACCUGUUUGUUUUCUUUGAAGGUUAUUUCAAGAACUAAUGCUAAUACCAAUAAAGCCCUUUAUUUAUUUAAAAAUGAACUAAAGUAACUUGGAAAGUAUUACUUUUGCUCUUAACCACUCUUCAUAGCUACCAAGCAGCAGCUCUAUUUACACUGAAUCCUGGAAGUAUGAAAUGAUCCUGUUUAUACCCACAAAAUAUUCUUGUGCAAAGUGUGCAAACGAUUAGGGUCCAGCGCUCAGGCCUCGUCCGGGAGCCACUGCAUGAUGGGCUCAAAUCAAUACACAUUACAGCAUCCUCAAGGGUCUUUGGCAAAAGCCUAUAAAUUACUUUGCUGAAGGCAUUUGUUAAUUGAACAGCAGACCCUGAGUGGCAGGAACAAUGCAAUUGUGAGCUGGGAAAAGCCCCUCCGAAAAUCAACAGAUGCAAGCGAACCAGUCUCAACGGUGAGGGCUGAUUAUGAUGUGGCUUCUAUUUUGGACAAUAACCUCUGUUUAUGAUAGCCUCCCGGUCAUUAAAAAUCUCUGCUGUAAGAGAAAACUGAGCCACUGCGCCUGGGAGCCACCUGUUUUUAUAAGUAAAAUAUUGGAUAACAAUCAUGCCUAUUCAUUUGCAAAUGAUCUCUGGCUGCUCGU
rnacentral:lncRNA from 10 species